UACGUAGGGCGCAAGCGUUGUCCGGAAUUAUUGGGCGUAAAGAGCUCGUAGGCGGUCUGUCGCGUCUGCCGUGAAAACCCGAGGCUUAACCUCGGGCUGGCGGUGGAUACGGGCAGACUAGAGGUAGGUAGGGGAGAAUGGAAUUCCUGGUGUAGCGGUGAAAUGCGCAGAUAUCGGGAGGAACACCGGUGGCGAAGGCGGUUCUCUGGGCCUUACCUGACGCUGAGGAGCGAAAGCGUGGGGAGCGAACAGG
rnacentral:rRNA from 1 species